rnacentral:rRNA from 1 species
AGCGAACGCUGGCGGCAGGCUUAACACAUGCAAGUCGAGCGGGCGUAGCAAUACGUCAGCGGCAGACGGGUGAGUAACGCGUGGGAACGUACCUUUUGGUUCGGAACAACACAGGGAAACUUGUGCUAAUACCGGAUAAGCCCUUACGGGGAAAGAUUUAUCGCCGAAAGAUUGGCCCGCGUCUGAUUAGCUAGUUGGUGAGGUAACGGCUCACCAAGGCGACGAUCAGUAGGUGGUCUGAAAGGAUGAUCAGCCACAUUGGGACUGAGACACGGCCCAAACUCCUACGGGAGGCAGCAGUGGGGAAUAUUGGACAAUGGGCGCAAGCCUGAUCCAGCCAUGCCGCGUGAGCGAUGAAGGCCCUAGGGUUGUAAAGCUCUUUUGUGCGGGAAGAUAAUGACGGUACCGCAAGAAUAAGCCCCGGCUAACUUCGUGCCAGCAGCCGCGGUAA